GAGGGGUAAGAGUACAGAACACCCUUUGGUCUGGGAUAUAGGGAUGAUGGGGAGGGAUGGGGUGGCCGUCCAGACCAAACAUAUAUUUAGAGAAGCCAAUGGGGCGGCCGACUAGGCGGCUGUCUUUGCGGCUCACCAUUCAGGGUACACCUUCUUGGCGGGGGAGGGGGAGCUGCCACUGGCACUCCGCGAGUUAGUAUUUUUUGACUUUAUUGGAUGUAUUCGUACACGUAUUAUAUGAAGAAUCUGUUUUCAACAAAAAAAAGAAUGCUAAGACAUUUGGCGAGCACAGUCCGUCCCCGAGGUUCGUUGUGGAGCGUGAUCAAGCUCG
rnacentral:lncRNA from 1 species